rnacentral:rRNA from 1 species
GGGUGCGAUCGUACCAACACUAAUGUACUGGAUCCCAUCAGAACUCCGCAACUAAGCGUGCUUGGGAGAGAGUUGUACUAGGAUGGGUGACCUUUUAGGAAGUCCUCGUGUUGUACCCC